GGCGGAUGUAGCCAAGUGGAGGAAGGCAGU
rnacentral:tRNA from 1 species